rnacentral:rRNA from 1 species
UGCCAUCAGCCGCGGUAAUACGGAGGGUCCGAGCGUUAUCCGGAUUUAUUGGGUUUAAAGGGUGCGCAGGCGGAACUUUAAGUCAGUGGUGAAAUCUUGCCGCUUAACGGUAAAAUUGCCAUUGAAACUGAAGUUCUUGAAUGUAGUUGAGGUAGGCGGAAUGUGUUGUGUAGCGGUGAAAUGCAUAGAUAUGACACAGAACGCCAAUUGCGAAAGCGGCUCUCUGGCUUGUCUCUGACGCUGAGGUGCGAAAGCUAGGGUAGCGAACGGGAUUAGAUA